rnacentral:rRNA from 1 species
GUUCUCAAUAAUUAUGUUGAUAACUAUUUCACGAAGGACAUGGAGCUAAUUAUAUUGUAGUAGUAGCUACUAAAUUAUAUGUGGCAACAUAUAAAAAAUACAUACAAUUAGGGGUGAUAGGCUUAUCAACAUGUUGGAUAUCUUGAUCCACAGGAAAAAUAUUAAGUAUUUAGUCAGAUUAGAAAUGGUUAGGUUUCUAAUAAACAUAAAAGAAAGCAUGGUAGGUUCAGUUUAUGUAACAGUUACUGUUUUUCAUUUAUUAUAAUACUACAUUUUUUAGUUUAUGAAGUUGUACUGUCGAACUAUACUUACUUGUUAGAAUAUUUUAUAAUGAAAAUAUUAGUAUUUUACUUAAGUUACGAAAAGGAACUCGGCAAAUCUUUGCUCAACUGUUUAACAAAAACAUAGCUAAACGCCAUUACGUUUGGUUUUUUCUGCUCAAUGAUAUUUUAAAUAGCCGCAGUA